rnacentral:rRNA from 1 species
GGGGCAAGCGUUGUUCGGAAUUACUGGGCGUAAAGGGCCUGUAGGCGGCCAACUACGUCGCACGUGAAAUCCCCAGGCUUAACCUGGGAACUGCGUGUGAUACUGGAUGGCUUGAAUUCGGGAGAGGGAUGCAGAAUUCCAGGUGUAGCGGUGAAAUGCGUAGAUAUCUGGAGGAAUACCGGUGGCGAAGGCGGCAUCCUGGACUGACAUUGACGCUGAACGGCGAAAGCUAGGGGAGCAAACGGG